AUUGAACGCUGGCGGCAGGCCUAACACAUGCAAGUCGAGCGGAUGAAGGGAGCUUGCUCCUGGAUUCAGCGGCGGACGGGUGAGUAAUGCCUAGGAAUCUGCCUGGUAGUGGGGUAUAACGUCCGGAGACGGGCGCUAAUACCGCAUACGUCCUGAGGGAGAAAGUGGGGGAUCUUCGGACCUCACGCUAUCAGAGGAGCCUAGGUCGGAUUAGCUAGUUGGUGGGGUAAAGGCCUACCAAGGCGACGAUCGGUAACUGGUCUGACAGGAUGAUCAGUCACCCUGGAAGUGAGACACGGUCCAGACUCCUACGGGAGGCAGCAGUGGGGAAUAGUGGACAGUGGGCGAAAGCCUGAUCCAGCCAUGCCGCGUGUGUGAAGAAGGUCUUCGGAUUGUAAAGCCCUUUAAGUUGUGAGGAAGGGCAGUAAGUUAAUACGUUGCUGUUUUGACGUUAACAACAGAAUAAGCACCGGCUAACUUCGUG
rnacentral:rRNA from 1 species